rnacentral:rRNA from 1 species
ACGGAGGGUGCAAGCGUUGUUCGGAAUCACUGGGCGUAAAGGGCGUGUAGGCGGUCCGCUAAGUCUGAUGUGAAAGCCCGGGGCUCACCCCCGGAAGGGCAUUGGAAACUGGCGGACUCGAGUCCCGGAGAGGAAGGUGGAAUUCCUGGUGUAGCGGUGAAAUGCGUAGAUAUCAGGAGGAAUACCGGUGGCGAAGGCGGCCUUCUGGACGGUGACUGACACUGAGACGCGAAAGCGUGGGGAGCAAACA